UACGUAGGGUGCAAGCGUUAAUCGGAAUUACUGGGUGUAAAGCGUGCGCAGGCGGUUGUGCAAGACAGGUGUGAAAUCCCCGGGCUUAACCUGGGAACUGCACUUGUGACUGCACAGCUGGAGUACGGCAGAGGGGGAUGGAAUUCCGCGUGUAGCAGUGAAAUGCGUAGAUAUGCGGAGGAACACCGAUGGCGAAGGCAGUCCCCUAAACCUGUACUAACGCUCAUGCACGAAAGCAUAAGAAGCAAACAAA
rnacentral:rRNA from 1 species